rnacentral:rRNA from 1 species
AUGAACGCUGGCGGCAUGUCUAAGGCAUGCAAGUCGAUUGAUUUGUUAGUAGCUUCGGUUACUAACGGGACAAGGCAAACGGGUGCGUAACACAUUGGUAAUCUACCUCCGACACGGGCAUAAUCAGCCGAAAGGCUGAAUAAUACCCGAUGGUCUCUUCGGUACUAUGUACUGUUGAGUAAAGCUCAGGCGGUCGGAGAGGAGCCUAUGGCCUAUCAGCUAGUUGGUAGUGUAAAAGACUACCAAGGCUACGACGGGUAGCGGGUGUGAGAGCACGACCCGCCUCACUGGAACUGAGAUACGGUCCAGACACCUACGGGUGGCUGCAGUCAAGAAUCUUCCGCAAUGGCCGCAAGGCUGACGGAGCAAUGCCGCGUGCAGGAUGAACCCCUUCGGGGUGUAAACUGCUUUUCUUCGGGACGAAUCCGUGACGGUACCGAAGGAAUAAGCCACUGCUAAUCUCGU